CAGCAGCCACGGGAAUACGGAGGGUGCAAGCGUUAAUCGGAAUUACUGGGCGUAAAGCGCACGCAGGCGGUCUGUCAAGUCAGAUGUGAAAUCCCCGGGCUUAACCUGGGAACUGCAUUUGAAACUGGCAGGCUAGAGUCUUGUAGAGGGGGGUAGAAUUCCAGGUGUAGCGGUGAAAUGCGUAGAGAUCUGGAGGAAUACCGGUGGCGAAGGCGGCCCCCUGGACAAAGACUGACGCUCAGGUGCGAAAGCGUGGGGAGCAAACAGGAUUAGAUACCCCUGUAGUCCUGUCUCUUAUACA
rnacentral:rRNA from 1 species